rnacentral:lncRNA from 1 species
AUUGGUUGUUAUUCUGUUGUUACCAUGGUUGUGCUUUAUACAAAAGUUUAUAUUUCUUACAAGUUUUACAUUUAAGUGAUAUUAUAUUAGUUAUAUAACAUUGUAAAUAGAGUUUAUACAAAGAAGAUAAAGUUUUAUUGUUUCACUUUAUAAUAUGAUACCAGUUAGAAUAUUUAUUUUCUUUGAAAAAAGGGGGGAAUAAAUAGACGAUUUCAGAUUUCAUACCCUUGUCUCCAGAGUUUAUCAUUUUCCUAAAGCUAACCUUCUUUCAGUUAAUUAAUAACAAGAAAACGAAGGAAAAUCAAGUGCAUUUUAGGGGGGCAAUGACUGAUUUCCAAGACUUUGUCAUUCAUAGGAAAAUAAAGCAUUAGUUUUUCAAAAAAAUUGGCAUUAUUUCAUUUGGACUCAUUUUUUGACAAUAUUACAACAUUUGAAUUUUUUUUUUUUAUUCUCAUUUAAAAGCAUCAAAACUGUGACAGCUGAGAGGGGGUUUAGGACAACAUAAUUCUAUUGUCUAUUUAAGUAUAUGAUUUGUUAACUUUUUCUUCUUCAAAACACAAUCAAGAGAGUUAGCAGGUAUGCUAAAUGUUAAAUUAUAGUCUGCUGGUAAUAGUAUAGCUAGCCAACAAUAUAUAAUUAGUUGUUGGUAAUACAUUUCAAACUGUUUUUUCUGGGAUAACUAACUGGUAUUAUUAUUAUUAAGUGUGAUUUGUACAUCUACCGUUCAUUAUUCCUAUCCAAACCAUUGUUAACUGCAUAUUAUCAUGAUUAAUAAAAUUUAUAAAG